AAGUCCCUGUACUUGUUUAAAUAAAUGCUUCACAAAACUGCUUGGAGAGGAAGAAAACAUUUUUCAUUCAUUUUGGGACAUAGGAAACUUUAAUGCCCAGAAUACUUACCUGAUGAGCUGUAUGAAAAUGAAACCGAAAAAGCGGAGAGCUAUCCAAAAAUGGCUUCCAAGAAAAUAUCAUCCAGGGAUGUUACAUUUUCUUAUAAUGUGAGGGUAUGCGGAAUAGAAGUCAUGAUCUGCAAGGAAGCUUCCCUAAGGGUUCAUGGCUUACAGAUACAUGCAUGAAGAGUGAGGAAUUUGCAACAUCAAAUGAAGCAGGGAUUUGCAGUGCCAAAAGAAGAUGGAAGAGGAAAACAUGGAAACUACCCACAUAAAUUUCAAGACGAAGCGGUACAAAGUGUUAGAGAAUUUCUCAACGCCAUACCGAAAUAUGUCAUUACAGUAGGCAACAGAACCCCAAUAAAGUGUAUUUGGAUUGUGAUCUCACAACUGCUUCCUUAUUUCGAG